CCUACGGGAGGCUGCAGUGAGGAAUAUUGGUCAAUGGACGCAAGUCUGAACCAGCCAUGCCGCGUGCAGGAAGACGGCUCUAUGAGUUGUAAACUGCUUUUGUACGAGGGUAAAUCCCGAUACGUGUAUCGGGUUGAAAGUAUCGUACGAAUAAGGAUCGGCUAACUCCGUGCCAGCAGCCGCGGUAAUACGGAGGAUUCAAGCGUUAUCCGGAUUUAUUGGGUUUAAAGGGUGCGUAGGUGGUUCGAUAAGUUAGAGGUGAAAUCCCGGGGCUCAACUCCGGCACUGCCUCUGAUACUGUCGGGCUAGAGUUUAGUUGCGGUAGGCGGAAUGUAUGGUGUAGCGGUGAAAUGCAUAGAGAUCAUACAGAACACCGAUUGCGAAGGCGACCUGCUAGAACAUAACUGACGCUGAUGCGCGAAAGCGUGGGGAGCAAACAGGAUUAGAUACCCGAGUAGUC
rnacentral:rRNA from 1 species